rnacentral:rRNA from 1 species
CCUUGGAUCCAGACUUUGAUCAUGGCUCAGGAUGAACGCUAGCUACAGGCUUAACACAUGCAAGUCGAGGGGAAACGACAUCGAAAGCUUGCUUUUGAUGGGCGUCGACCGGCGCACGGGUGAGUAACGCGUAUCCGACCUGCCCAUCACUUGGGGAUAACCUUGCGAAAGUAAGACUAAUACCCAAUGAUAUCUCUAGAAGACAUCUGAAAGAGAUUAAAGAUUUAUCGGUGAUGGAUGGGGAUGCGUCUGAUUAGCUUGUUGGCGGGGUAACGGCCCACCAAGGCGACGAUCAGUAGGGGUUCUGAGAGGAAGGUCCCCCACAUUGGAACUGAGACACGGUCCAAACUCCUACAGGAGGCAGCAGUGAGGAAUAUUGGUCAAUGGACGAGAGUCUGAACCAGCCAAGUAGCGUGCAGGAUGACGGCCCUAUGGGUUGUAAACUGCUUUUAUAAGGGAAUAAAGUGAGAGUCGUGACUCUUUUUGCAUGUACCUUAUGAAUAAGGACCGGCUAAUUCCGUGCCGGCAGCCGCGGUAAUACGGAAGGUCCGGGCGUUAUCCGGAUUUAUUGGGUUUAAAGGGAGCGUAGGCCGGAGAUUAAGCGUGUUGUGAAAUGUAGACGCUCAACGUCUGCACUGCAGCGCGAACUGGUUUCCUUGAGUACGCACAAAGUGGGCGGAAUUCGUGGUGUAGCGGUGAAAUGCUUAGAUAUCACGAAGAACUCCGAUUGCGAAGGCAGCUCACUGGAGCGCAACUGACGCUGAAGCUCGAAAGUGCGGGUAUCGAACAGGAUUAGAUACCCUGGUAGUCCGCACGGUAAACGAUGGAUGCCCGCUGUUGGUCUUAAUAGGUCAGCGGCCAAGCGAAAGCAUUAAGCAUCCCACCUGGGGAGUACGCCGGCAACGGUGCAACUCAAAUGAAUUGACGGA